AAAGCGAGCGCAGGCGGUUUGAUAAGUCUGAAGUUAAAGGCUGUGGCUCAACCAUAGUUCGCUUUGGAAACUGUCAAACUUGAGUGCAGAAGGGGAGAGUGGAAUUCCAUUUAGCGGUGAAAUGCGUAGAUAUAUGGAGGAACACCGGUGGCGAAAGCGGCUCUCUGGUCUGUAACUGACGCUGAGGCUCGAAAGCGUGGGGAGCGAACAGGAUUAGAUACCCUGGUAGUCCACGCCGUAAACGAUGAGUGCUAGGUGUUGGAUCCUUUCCGGGAUUCAGUGCCGCAGCUAACGCAUUAAGCACUCCGCCUGGGGAGUACGACCGCAAGGUUGAAACUCAAAGGAAUUGACGGGG
rnacentral:rRNA from 1 species